UACGUAGGGUGCGAGCGUUGUCCGGAAUUAUUGGGCGUAAAGCGCGCGCAGGCGGCCUGCUAAGUCUGAUGUGAAAGCCCACGGCUCAACCGUGGAGGGCCAUUGGAAACUGGUAGGCUUGAGUGCAGGAGAGGAGAGCGGAAUUCCCGGUGUAGCGGUGAAAUGCGUAGAGAUCGGGAGGAACACCUGUGGCGAAGGCGGCUCUCUGGCCUGUAACUGACGCUGAGGCGCGAAAGCGUGGGGAGCAAACAGG
rnacentral:rRNA from 1 species